UAGUUUUUGAUAUUUGUCCUUCCCUGCCCUUAGAAGACCAACAGCAACCAAAAGACAAAACCCAUACUUAAGUUUAACUGAAACAUAGCAAAACCUUAUCUGGAAUUAGCACUUUUUCUCUUUCUUUUAUAGCAACCAAAGCUUCCAUUAAACCGACUCCGUGCCAAAUAAAUAUUUCAGAGCCAACUCUCUGUCUCUAGAAAAAGAAUCUAGGGUUUGAAACAGUGAAUCUUUCCCCAUAGGUUUUCUGGAGACGAUGUGAGAUUUCUUGAUACCAUUUAUACCAGUAGGAAAAAAGUAGCUUAUUAAUCUUCUGUUAGCAUGGCCACGGAAAGUCCUAUUAGAAUGUCAGAAACUAGUGGAAAAUGGCCCUCCCAUCAGGAGGCUGCAACAUUUGCGGCAGAGGAAUUGGGAUUGCUUCUGAAGGGCCAUAAAUUUCAUGGCAGGGGGAGGGAUGUGGUCCCUAACCGAAGUGGAAGUGCACCCCCAAGCAUGGAAGGCUCGUUCUUGUCCAUGGAUAACAUUUUGUCUCAGCAGGCUAUUAACUCAAAUGCAAGCUUGGCCAGUCUAAACAGUGCUAUGCAGAACUACGAGUCUGAGGAACAGCUGAGAGCCGAUCCAGCUUAUUUGUCUUAUUAUUUAUCCAAUAUCAACCUAAACCCUAGGCUUCCUCUCCCACUUAUCUCAUCCGAGAAUCGCCGAGUAGUACGCCAUAUUGGUAGUUUUGGCAACAACUGGCCAUUGACUUCUGUGGAUGAUAGCAGCAAUGGUUCUUUGCAUAGGUCUCGUGGAACCCUUUCUACGCAAUAUGAAGAGUCUGAAGAUGAUCAGUCACCCCAAAAGCCUCCUGAUGAUUGGGUAGAUGAAACGGGUGGGUUUUGGUCUGGGCAGGAGGUGACUUCAUCAUCAUUUCAACACAGACAUGUGGUGGAUUCAGUACAGGAAGAUUCUCCCCACAUUCAAUCAUCUGAAUAUAGUCAUUCUAACUUGUUAAGCCAUGGAGUGGCAGAGGAAGCAUUUGAUCACGAUGCUGACUCCCGUUCCUUGUGUGAUCCCAUUAUUAGCACAUCAAAUGGUGUCACAUCCACCUUUGGUACAGAUGAUAGAAGGACACUGUCAAGUUCUGAUCCUUUGGGUGGCCCUGUUUCUAGCUCGUCUUCUCAUGAUCUUACAGGAAAUAGGGAUGUAAAUGAUUUGGGCGUUACCACCAUUGAAUCUGAUUUGAAGGCUCUUAAUAUAUCUAAUCUUCCAAGUUCAGAAAAUCGAAAAAAUCAAGAACAUUGGCAACGUAGCAGUCAGAAUAAUUUGUUGCUACAUCAGGUACAACAACAAAGCAAUUUAUCUCAAUUUCAAACUGCCAAGUCUCAAGUGAUAUCUCAAGGUGCAAACUGCACAUAUGUUGGUGUGGAUCGGUUUGUCCAUAAUACCAGCAAGUUUACGGCAGAGGUACAACCGGUACUACAGUCAUCUGGGUUCACUCCACCGUUUGCAACUGCUGCAGCCUACAUGACUUCAGCAAAUCCUUUAUACCCUAAUUUGCAGGCCCCAGGCUUAUAUUCCCAACAAUAUGUAGGUGGAUAUGCUUUGAAUCCCUCAAUUGUUCCUCCAUAUAUUGCUGGGUACCCUCCCCAUGGUUCUGUUCCUGUUGUUGUUGAUGGAACUGCUGGUCCAAGCUAUACGGCCCAAACUUCUGGGGUUUCAACUGGGGGAAACAUAGCUCACGGAGCUGAUAUGCAGCACUUAAAUAAGUUCUACGGGCAGCUUGGUUUUCCACUACAACCUUCUUUUGGCGAUCCUGUAUAUAUGCAAUAUCAUCAUCCACCUUAUGGUGACGUAUAUGGUAUUUCUGGUCAAUUUGAUCCAUUGGUUUCUAGAGGUGGUGUUGAUAUUGGGGGCCAGGCUAGAGCUCUUGAUUCGCAGAAGGGACCCAACGUUGCUGUUUAUUUGGAUGACCACAAAUUCCAUCAGACAAAUGGAGGGCUGAAUAACAUGAACCCAAGAAGAGGGGGGCCUAUGAGUUCUAAUUAUUAUGGAAGCCCACUAAACAUGGGUUUUCUGAUGCAGUACCCGAACUCACCACUUGCUAGUCCAGUUUUACCAGGGUCACCUGUUGGUGGGACUGGUGUUCCUGGGGGCAGAAAUGAAAUGAGAUUUGCUCUAAGCUCUGGUAGAAAUGCUGGUCUAUAUCCAGGAUGGCAAGGUCCAAGAGGGUUUGAGAGUUUUGAUGACUCUAAAAUAUAUAAUUUUCUUGAAGAGUUGAAAUCAGGCAAAGGUCGCAGAUUUGAGCUGUCUGAUAUUGUAGGACAUAUUGUUGAAUUCAGUGCUGAUCAACAUGGGAGUCGGUUUAUUCAGCAGAAGUUGGAAAAUUGUAGUGUUGAAGAGAAGGUGUCUGUAUUUAAAGAAGUUCUUCCUCAGGCUUCCAAACUAAUGACUGAUGUUUUUGGCAACUAUGUUAUUCAGAAGUUUUUUGAGUAUGGAAGCCCCGAGCAGAGGAAGGAACUUGCUUAUCAACUCACAGGUCAGGUUUUGCCUUUAAGCCUGCAGAUGUAUGGCUGUCGUGUAAUUCAAAAGGCACUUGAUGUCAUUGAUAUUGAACAGAAAGCACACCUUGUUCGAGAGCUGGAUGGUCAUGUCAUGCGGUGUGUUCGUGAUCAAAAUGGAAAUCAUGUAAUACAAAAGUGCAUCGAGAGCAUUCCAACUGGGAAAAUUGAGUUUAUCAUAUCUGCUUUUCGUGGCGAAGUUACGACACUUUCUAUGCAUCCUUAUGGUUGCCGUGUCAUACAGAGAGUUCUAGAGCAUUGUACAGAUGAGCUUCAAUGUCAGUUUAUAGUUGAUGAAAUCUUGGAGUCUGUUUGUACUCUUGCUCAGGAUCAGUAUGGAAAUUAUGUUACCCAGCAUGUACUGGAGAGGGGAAAGCCUCAUGAAAGGAGUAAGAUUAUAAGCAAGCUGUCGGGACAUGUUGUACAACUUAGCCAGCAUAAAUUUGCUUCAAAUGUUGUCGAGAAAUGCUUGGAGUAUGGUGGCUCUGCUGAGCGGGAACUAUUAAUUGGAGAGAUUUUCGGUCAUAAUGAAGGAACUGAUAAUUUAUUGACAAUGAUGAAGGACCAAUUUGCAAAUUACGUGGUUCAGAAGAUUCUUGAAAUAUGUUCUGAUAAUCAGCGGGCAAUGUUGCUUGGUCGUGUAAGAGUUCAUGCUCAUGCUUUGAAGAAAUACACUUAUGGAAAACACAUUGUUGCUCGAUUUGAACAGCUAUUUGGAGAAGAGUUACCACAGCACAUUUGGUAGGAACGGAAGGAACUAGAAAUUUGAGAGGAAAUCAGGAAGCAUUCUCUUUAGUCUUCUAUUAAGUCCUUGUGGGGAGUUCCUCUCCUUUGCAUGGAUAUGGCACUUCUCAAUUAAUGAAUAAAAAGACUUGUGUCGGUGACAACCCUUUCUUUUUUGGAAGUAUGGGAGACUGAAAAAAAAUCCUACAACUGGAUCCUGAUGCCAAAUGUGUGGAAUCAUCCAGUAUGGGCAUGUAUUUCUCGCUUCAGUGGAAAAAAGUAACAUGAUAAGAUAUGUAUAUGCUUCUCGAAAAGGCCGUACCACGGUUACAUUUAUGCAAUUUGGUAACUUCCACCCAAGGAAGCUGCAACUAGUUCAGUCAUUGGAAAAAUGGUCGAUGUUGUAAACAAUGUAAAGCAAGCGACAGAAUGUGUACAUUUUCAAACGGUGUGUUUUUAUGUUAUUACUGCAGGGUGAUUGGUUUAGAUUGCAACGCAAGGGUAAUUAUUCGGAAGGAAA